CACAAGAGCUACUUCAGUGUGGUUGGCAUUACUCAUGGCUGGACAGCCUCAAAAUCUGGCUUUUUCGACCAAAUGAACCUUCUUUUUAUACACACAAUCUUUGCAGGAUUGGGUCAGCACAACACUUUCUUUGCUCCAGCUAUUUUAUCCAAAGCCAAAUGGAGCUGCUAGAUUUAUCCAGACAUCUUGGGCUGCUUGAGAGAGUUCCACCCUUAAUAUCAAAGAGAUGCCACCAGUUCAAGGUCAGAGCCUAAUGGACCCUGAAAGAACAGUUUUCAGGAUCUGCUUUGACUCUAAUCCUCUGUUGACCUGCUCCGAUGGCUGGGUGAAGGAACUGAGGAUUGACGAGAAAUGAUGGCAGAGCAUCCUCCUUUGCAAGAGGGAAAGAAAAAAUUAGUAGCAAAGGAAAAUUGAAUAGGCUUGUAAGGUAAUUAGCAAUUUUCAAAUGCAGCAAUGGGCAAAGGAAACAAAACGUGGAACAUGUAUUAAAAGUCAAGCGGAUGGUUUAGAAAAUACAGCUGUAGGAUCACACAGAUUUUGACCAUCCAAACCAAAUUCAAUUAUCAUGUCUGUGCUGCUUUUCUAUUUCCGCCACUGAAAGGCUAUUAUUAGGUGCUCUCUCUCUUUUUUACAUCUCCAAGUAAUGCCUUCAUAAAACAUUCCAAAAAGUAAACAUUAGCUUUAGGCCAUUUGAUUACUGGUUUCCCAGAACGCUAUGUUCUGUCCUGUUUCUCUCCAUAUUCCUUUAAUAUUAAAAAUAGGAAAUGACUGAAGGCAGUUGAAUGGCUCUGCCUUGGAGGCUGUUCCCCCAGCCAGCCUCUCAAGCAUUGUUGGGGCCUCAUCCCUCUAAAACCCAUUUCAUCCUUAUUACACAGACAGCCCGAUGCCAAGCCGGAAAAAACAAAAACCAAAAAGCAAAAAACAAUAAAAAAAUAUAG